rnacentral:rRNA from 1 species
CAGUAGCCACGGGAAUACGAAGGGGGCUAGCGUUGUUCGGAAUUACUGGGCGUAAAGCGCACGUAGGCGGAUAUUUAAGUCAGGGGUGAAAUCCCAGAGCUCAACUCUGGAACUGCCUUUGAUACUGGGUAUCUUGAGUAUGGAAAAGGUGAGUGGAAUUCCGAGUGUAGAGGUGAAAUUCGUAGAUAUUCGGAGGAACACCAGUGGCGAAGGCGGCUCACUGGUCCAUUACUGACGCUGAGGUGCGAAAGCGUGGGGAGCAAACAGGAUUAGAUACCCGAGUAGUCCCUGUCUCUUAUAC